rnacentral:rRNA from 1 species
UACAGAGGUCUCAAGCGUUGUUCGGAUUCAUUGGGCGUAAAGGGUGCGUAGGUGGCGGGGUAAGUCAGGUGUGAAAUUUCGGAGCUUAACUCCGAAACUGCAUUUGAUACUGCCUUGCUUGAGGACUGGAGAGGAGACUGGAAUUUACGGUGUAGCAGUGAAAUGCGUAGAUAUCGUCUGGAACGCCAAAGGUGAAAACAGCUCGCUGGGGUUGUGCUGACGCUGAGACACGAAAGCCAGGGGAGCGAACGGG